UACGUAGGUGGCAAGCGUUGUCCGGAAUUAUUGGGCGUAAAGAGCUCGUAGGCGGCCUGUCGCGUCUGCUGUGAAAGCCCGGGGCUCAACCCCGGGUCUGCAGUGGAUACGGGCAGGCUAGAGUUCGGUAGGGGAGACUGGAAUUCCUGGUGUAGCGGUGAAAUGCGCAGAUAUCAGGAGGAACACCGGUGGCGAAGGCGGGUCUCUGGGCCGAUACUGACGCUGAGGUGCGAAAGCGUGGGGAGCAAACAGG
rnacentral:rRNA from 1 species